rnacentral:rRNA from 1 species
GACGAACGCUGGCGGCGUGCUUAACACAUGCAAGUCGAACGGAAAGGCCUCUUUCGGGGGGUACUCGAGUGGCGAACGGGUGAGUAACACGUGAGUAACCUGCCCUUGACUUUGGGAUAACUUCAGGAAACUGGGGCUAAUACCGGAUAGGAGCUCCUGCUGCAUGGUGGGGGUUGGAAAGUUUCGGCGGUUGGAGAUGGACUCGCGGCUUAUCAGCUUGUUGGUGGGGUAGUGGCUUACCAAGGCUUUGACGGGUAGCCGGCCUGAGAGGGUGACCGGCCACAUUGGGACUGAGAUACGGCCCAGACUCCUACGGGAGGCAGCAGUGGGGAAUAUUGCACAAUGGGUGGAAGCCUGAUGCAGCAACGCCGUGUGCGGGAUGACGGCCUUCGGGUUGUAAACCGCUUUCGCUCAUGACGAAGCUUUGUGUGACGGUAGUGGGUAAAGAAGCACCGGCUAACUACGUG